GCCCGUGUGGUGGAAUGGUAGACACGAACGACUCAAAAUCGUUUGCUUAACGGCAUGCCAGUUCGAGUCUGGCCACGGGUACCA
rnacentral:tRNA from 1 species